CCUACGGGACGCAGCAGUGAGGAAUAUUGGUCAAUGGACGAGAGUCUGAACCAGCCAAGUAGCGUGAAGGAUGACUGCCCUAUGGGUUGUAAACUUCUUUUAUAUGGGAAUAAAAUGUUCCACGUGUGGGAUUUUGUAUGUACCAUAUGAAUAAGGAUCGGCUAACUCCGUGCCAGCAGCCGCGGUAAUACGGAGGAUGCGAGCGUUAUCCGGAUUUAUUGGGUUUAAAGGGUGCGUAGGCGGGUUAUCAAGUCAGCGGUAAAAUCGUGGAGCUCAACUCCAUCCAGCCGUUGAAACUGAUGAUC
rnacentral:rRNA from 1 species